GGGAAGCACACACACACACACACUGGGGAUGAGAAGAUGAACUUAUCCGUACAGUCGCCCAAACACCACAAAUUCUUUUCAGUGACAAUCUCUGUACUGUGAUCAAACAUUUGAAAUUUUGGCCACGGUCGUUUGAUGUGAUGUAGAGAAGUCACAAAAAUCGACUACCGUCGCCAAAAUUUUUAAUUUUGAUCACAGUAAAGAGUUUGUCUUGUCGCUGGAAACUUAUUUGAAUGUGCGGCGUGCGCCACAUCGUUUGGAUUGGAGGUCUGCAGUGCAGUUCGCCGGAACAAACAAACCGCCCCGCCCAAGGUGGCCCCGCCGCCCCGCCGGGACCGCCGCGAUACGAGCGCUCCGCGCGGCCACCGGUUGAGUUGAACAACGUCAACGAUCAACGGCAUCUGCCGAGGGCGUGAAUGUUGUUGUGUGAUGAAAUUCAACUUGUAUCAGGCAGGGGGGCAUGUAGCAGCCGUUGAGGCGGACGGCCUGGAGGUGGCGCCGCUUGUGGCGCAGCAGCAGCACGAAGAAGAAGCAGUCGCCGUCGUCGAAGAAGUCGGUGCUGAGGCCGCUGAUGUCGAGCUCCCGGAGCGACGGGC